rnacentral:misc_RNA from 1 species
AAAUCUCAAACCAAGCCUUCUUUUUUGACUUCGGUCGAAGGCUCGGGUUUGGAUCGUUGGGAGUCUGCGGGCGACGCACGUCGUCGGCUCUCCUGAAAUGCAUUAGCGGUGGGCAUGCAAGUCUUGCUUGGCACCAGCCUCUCCCGGCGUCAUAAUGAUCGUCGCGGGCUUGCCAGCUGCAAAGGGACGUGUCCCAUGCUUCUCCAACUUUGCGAGCCCCCUCUCCUGGGCGCUCUGCAUUUGAAG